UCGAGCUCAUUGUCCUUGCUAAGGACAGGUUCUGCGUUAUAUGGCAUGAUGAUGGUUAUGAUGUCAAUGAAAUUUGCAUUUAUUAUACUAGAUUCUCAGUUUCUUAUGAUCUACCUAAGCCCACUGCCACUGUUGAGGAUAGCAGGGCUUUUCCAAUCAGAGGCGUCGAAAUACUCAAUAUUGUAACUCUGGAUCCACAUUCAGAUGCAAUGGCGAAUGACUUGAGCUGCAACAGUGGAGUUGAUAAUUAGAAGUUGGUGGGGACAAACAAUGAUGAAACGUGUGAUUGGAGGAAUUUACAAGUUUUGGCAGUUCAUAUGAGUAAUUGGAGGAACCCG
rnacentral:misc_RNA from 1 species